GACGAACGCUGGCGGCGUGCUUAACACAUGCAAGUCGAACGGAAAGGCCCUGCUUUUGUGGGGUGCCCGAGUGGCGAACGGGUGAGUAACACGUGAGUAACCUGCCCUUGACUUUGGGAUAACUUCAGGAAACUGGGGCUAAUACAGGAGAGGAGCUCCUGCUGCAUGGUGGGGGUCGGAAAGCUUGGGCGGAUGGGGAUAGAGUCGGGGCUUAUCAGCUUGUGGGGGGGGGAGCGGCUUACCAAGGCAUUGGCGGGUGGCCGGCCUGGGAGGGUGGCCAGCCACAUUGGGACUGAGAUACGGACCAGACGCCUACGGGAGGCAGCAGUGGGGAAUAUUGCCCAGUGGGCGGGAGCCUGUUGCAGCAGCGCCGCGUGCGGGAUGACGGCCUUCGGGUUGUGAACCGCUUUCGCCUGUGACGAAGCGUUAGUGACGGUAAUGGGUAAAGAAGCACCGGCUAACUACGUG
rnacentral:rRNA from 1 species